UACGUAGGGUGCGAGCGUUAAUCGGAAUUACUGGGCGUAAAGCGUGCGCAGGCGGUUUGCUAAGACCGAUGUGAAAUCCCCGGGCUUAACCUGGGAACUGCAUUGGUGACUGGCAGGCUAGAGUAUGGCAGAGGGGGGUAGAAUUCCACGUGUAGCAGUGAAAUGCGUAGAGAUGUGGAGGAACACCGAUGGCGAAGGCAGCCCCCUGGGUUAACACUGACGCUCAGGCACGAAAGCGUGGGGAGCAAACAGG
rnacentral:rRNA from 1 species